AACGAACGCUGGCGGCAUGCCUAACACAUGCAAGUCGAACGAGACCUUCGGGUCUAGUGGCGCACGGGUGCGUAACGCGUGGGAAUCUGCCCCUUGGUCGGAAUAACAGUUAGAAAUGACUGCUAAUACCGGAUGAUGACGAAAGUCCAAAGAUUUAUCGCCGAGGGAUGAGCCCGCGUAGGAUUAGCUAGUUGGUGAGGUAAAGGCUCACCAAGGCGACGAUCCUUAGCUGGUCUGAGAGGAUGAUCAGCCACACUGGGACUGAGACACGGCCCAGACUCCUACGGGAGGCAGCAGUGGGGAAUAUUGGACAAUGGGCGAAAGCCUGAUCCAGCAAUGCCGCGUGAGUGAUGAAGGCCUUAGGGUCGUAAAGCUCUUUUACCAGGGAUGAUAAUGACAGUACCUGGAGAAUAAGCUCCGGCUAACUCCGUG
rnacentral:rRNA from 1 species